UGUAAUAAAAAAAAACCACAGCAAGACAUGUUCUCACUGUACAAAUGUCUGGUGCUACAAUCUGAUGAUUUUAUGUAAACUCAUUCAUUUAAAACAUUUGGCUGAUUAAAGUCCAGAGUGAAAUACAAAAUUUAAGUUCAACAGACACACAUUU